GUGGGGAAUUUUGGACAAUGGGCGAAAGCCUGAUCCAGCCAUGCCGCGUGCAGGAUGAAGGCCUUCGGGUUGUAAACUGCUUUUGUACGGAACGAAACGGUCCGGGUUAAUACCCUGGGCUAAUGACGGUACCGUAAGAAUAAGCACCGGCUAACUACGUGCCAGCAGCCGCGGUAAUACGUAGGGUGCAAGCGUUAAUCGGAAUUACUGGGCGUAAAGCGUGCGCAGGCGGUUUUGUAAGACAGGCGUGAAAUCCCCGGGCUCAACCUGGGAAUUGCGCUUGUGACUGCAAGGCUGGAGUGCGGCAGAGGGGGAUGGAAUUCCGCGUGUAGCAGUGAAAUGCGUAGAUAUGCGGAGGAACACCGAUGGCGAAGGCAAUCCCCUGGGCCUGCACUGACGCUCAUGCACGAAAGCGUGGGGAGCAAACAGGAUUAGAUACCCGUGUAGUCC
rnacentral:rRNA from 1 species